rnacentral:lncRNA from 1 species
UGAACAUAUCUAACACAUCUAAGCCAGGGCUUAGCUGGGGCGUUCCAGGACCUUAGGAGGGGAUGAGGUUUGGCAUUCAUGACAGCUGAGGUUCCUGCCAAGAUUUGUCACACUCUCAUAUCUGUUUUGGCCGAAGGAUUUGCGCGCAGGAGAAGCUGUCUGUCACUUAUGUGACAAUUUGCAUUUUUGUUGAUUUAUUUUCGCUUUGGGUUUUUCGGGGAGCUUUGAUUGCCAUCCAUUAUAUAACUUUUUAUUUUUGUUUUAUCAGAAAGAGCUAAAAAGGCAUCGAUAUGUGGUCGAAGAACUCAAAUAAUUAUACACAGCGCUUCAGCAAAAUUAUCUUGCUUCCAUCUCCUGCCUGGUAAGACCCAACUACUUUAAUUUGAAUUUGAUUAGAACUUAGAUUUAUUGCCCACAUCCUGAACAACACAGAACCGCAUAAGCCUCAAAAACUUCGUAGCCCACGCAACAUACAUUCAAAUGUAGCAGGAGGACUCGAUCUAGAGGCUGAAGAGGGAGUCAAAAUAAUCUGGCGGUGGCCAAAACCAAUGACGACGACCGUCAUUAACCACAAAUCCUUUACUUAACAGUACGUAAAUUUUUGGCACGGCCCUCCUCAAAGAUAAGCUGCCCAAGCCUAUCCUGGAGGGGUAAUUUACAUAUACGCGCAUAUCAUUUGACCUUGACGAAAAACCAACCCAACCCUCGGCAAUGGGGACCUUCGUACUCGCCGAGUCGUAAAGACCACACGCAGCCUGUGUCGCCAGAGCAAGAGAAAGAGAGCCAAGGCUGGGUGAAGCCAGGGAGCCUGUCUAAUUAAACACUCCACACAGAGAAAUAAAUUUGGGUCACAUCAUUAAAUAAAUAUAAGUGGGUCGGGUGGCUCUGCCGUCUGUCCGGGGGCUAGCUCUUUUCAUUUAAAGAUUUACAUAAAAUCACCAACAACAAAAAAAAAGUUAAUUUAUUUCAAGCCUUUUGGCAUUUUGGCUUUUACCCCCCCUCCCCCUCAGAGGAGGAGUGUUGUGUGUCAGCGUUCAUGAGUGUUUGUGUCUGAAGCCAUCUUCUUCUCCUUUGUGCGAGUAUUUGCUGUUUUCCCCCUAAGCAAACUGACAUCUUAAAGCAGUCAACCACAAUUAAGAUGUUAAAGGGUUGAUAUAGGUAAUGGAGAUGGGCAGCAUAACAGGAUUAUGGAGGCAGGAAAGCUCUUAUCGCUAGAAAUAUAGCUGGCUAGGUGAUUUCUAUCGCUCAGAUUAUCAGUCUCUCAGGCUCUGUCUCUCGACGUCACUUGACGCCACUGUUACGAAGCUGCAGGAAAUCGAUGAAUAUCGUUAUCGUUUCGAUUGUGAUCACCCAAGGCUGGCGCAUCUCUAGGCAGUUGCUCUCGUUAGCUCUUCCCAGUGCCCGCUCUUUGCCGCUUUGCUGUCUGCGGGCU